GCAGGAAACGUUUUUGUGGAAAUAGUUAAUAUAUCCAACUGGACUGCAGUAAAAAAAUCCAAACACCCCACAGGAUGGAUUAUAUUUCCUGACUAAACCCCAAGGACUUAGACCCAGAGGAUGGAUUCAAUAAAGUCACCUACUCUUGAGUUACAUGGAAUAUUCAAAAAAUCAUUCUGGGAUAUAUUUGAGUGGAAAAUGAGUCUAUAUUGGAAGUUCCAGAAUGAAUGGCAGCAAACAACGGAUUGCAUAUCAACGGUAGAACAUUAACUCCUCCAAGUUAUACCGAACACACCACAACUGGAACUACUUCAGUUAGCAUCCCAUCUAAAACUGAACACCUGUGGAUUCUUGGGUUGUGUGUUGGGCUUCUAGUCAUUAUCAUCCCAAUUUUCCUUUUUAUUCGCAGCUAUUAUAAAAAGGGAUAUGUAUAUAGGAGACUGAGACAGGCGCUGCACUGUAACCAUGCACAACAUGUGUGAACUCAAUAAUUGAUCUACCUCAGAGCUCCAGUCACCACAUGAUGUCUUCAACCCUGACUUUCUUUUUAACUGAUUUUAGUGCGCAAAUCACUUAUAAUAAGAAGAAAGAUUGUUCAAUUUUGUUUAAUGUGUACAUUACAUGUUGAACUGAUGUAUGCUUACUUUAAAAUUUUUGAGGUGCUGUUUUUUUAAAUGCCAGUGUUUGUAAAUUUUGCUGCAUUAUUGUAAUACAAAAUUUGUACCUGAAUGUACCUAGUAAGACAGUCUGAUAACAACCAUGCACCCCCUUCCCUCCUUACACUAGUCAGGAGAUUUAACAAACCUAACCUAUAUAUUGUUAAUAUAUGUUCUAUUAAUUUUAUAUAUCAACUUUUUUUGGGCUAUUUGAUCAAUGCAUUUUUUGUUAUGUAAACAAACAAUAUUGGGUUGUAAAUUAAGUGAGUGAAAUUGUAUAUAUACCUGUAAUUUAAGUGGAUGAAAAUAAAUGAGGCAUUACAUGUAUAGAC
rnacentral:sRNA from 1 species